rnacentral:rRNA from 1 species
UACGUAGGGUGCAAGCGUUGUCCGGAAUUAUUGGGCGUAAAGAGCUCGUAGGCGGUCUGUCGCGUCUGCUGUGAAAACUCGGGGCUUAACCCCGGGCCUGCAGUGGGUACGGGCAGACUAGAGUGCGGUAGGGGAGACUGGAAUUCCUGGUGUAGCGGUGAAAUGCGCAGAUAUCAGGAGGAACACCGGUGGCGAAGGCGGGGUCUCUGGGCCGUAACUGACGCUGGAGGAGCGAAAGCCGUGGGGAGCGAACAGG